rnacentral:rRNA from 1 species
UACAGAGGUCCCAAGCGUUGUUCGGAUUCACUGGGCGUAAAGGGUGCGUAGGCGGUCGGGUAAGUCUGAUGUGAAAUCUCACAGCUUAACUGUGAAACUGCAUUGGAUACUAUCCGGCUCGAGGAAUGGAGGGGAGACUGGAAUACUUGGUGUAGCAGUGAAAUGCGUAGAUAUCGAGUGGAACACCAGUGGCGAAGGCGAGUCUCUGGACAUUUCCUGACGCUGAGGCACGAAAGCCAGGGGAGCAAACGGG